UGAGGAAUAUUGCGCAAUGGGCGAAAGCCUGACGCAGCGACGCCGCGUGGGGGAUGAAGGCCUUCGGGUUGUAAACCCCUUUCGGGAGGGAAGAUGGGACGAGCAAUCGUUCGGACGGUACCUCCAGAAGCAGCCACGGCUAACUCUGUGCCAGCAGCCGCGGUAAGACAGAGGUGGCAAGCGUUGUUCGGAUUUACUGGGCGUAAAGAGUGCGUAGGUGGUUCGGUAAGACCUGUGGGAAAGCCCAGGGCUUAACCCUGGAAGGUCGCAGGUGACUGCCGGGCUAGAGGACGGGAGAGGAGAGCGGAAUUCCCGGUGUAGCGGUGAAAUGCGUAGAGAUCGGGAAGAAGGCCGGUGGCGAAGGCGGCUCUCUGGAACGUUCCUGACACUGAGGCACGAAAGCGUGGGGAGCAAACAGGAUUAGAUACCCCGGUAGUCC
rnacentral:rRNA from 1 species